rnacentral:rRNA from 1 species
CCUACGGGAGGCAGCAGUGGGGAAUAUUGGGCAAUGGGCGCAAGCCUGACCCAGCAACGCCGCGUGAAGGAAGAAGGCUUUCGGGUUGUAAACUUCUUUUAUCAGGGACGCAGCAAGUGACGGUACCUGAUGAAUAAGCCACGGCUAACUACGUGCCAGCAGCCGCGGUAAUACGUAGGUGGCAAGCGUUAUCCGGAUUUACUGGGUGUAAAGGGCGUGUAGGCGGGAAAGCAAGUCAGAUGUGAAAACCAUGGGCUCAACCUGUGGCCUGCAUUUGAAACUGUUGUUCUUGAGUACUGGAGAGGCAGACGGAAUUCCGAGUGUAGCGGUGAAAUGCGUAGAUAUUAGGAGGAACACCAGUGGCGAAGGCGGUCUGCUGGACAGCAACUGACGCUGAGGCGCGAAAGCGUGGGGAGCAAACAGGAUUAGAUACCCCUGUAGUC